rnacentral:lncRNA from 1 species
UGAAGUCAAGUCCCAUAUCUCUGGAGCGAGCAAUGCCUCGUACUGGAGCCCUGUUUGCAGCAGACCUUCGGCGGAAUUAAAGCAGGAGAGACACUCACAGUGGCAGGAGCACGGGACCUGCCUGCAGCAUGGUCCCAUCCAGAAGGUUCAAUCCAGACCAGCAUCUCUGACGUGGAGAAAUAUUUGCUGAAGUAUGUGGUGACUGGAAGAAAGGGUGCAAAACUGGAAUGAAGGAAACCAGGAGAUGGUCCAUAAUAAUGAUCCAUAAAACUGAUACGUGUUUCCAGAGUGCUGAAGGCUCUGGAAAAGCUCCCAACAACUGCCUUGUGGUAAGAGCGCCAAGGAGCAUGAUGACCGUUGAAUACCACGAUAUCCUGCCUUAUUUGAGCCUCUUACCAAGAUCUGCCUUCGAUUUCCACAAGGUUUCUAUUUCUUCUCAUUCAUGGACAACAGGAAUGAAAAAACAUCCCAAGUUGCAGACUGACGUGCCCUGCAUUUCCCCCUAGAUCCCCU